UACGUAGGGGGCGAGCGUUGUCCGAAGUUACUGGGCGUAAAGCGCGCGUAGGCGGUCAUUUAAGUCUGAGGUGAAAGGUUCAGCGCUCAACGUGAACAGUGCCUUGGAUACUAGGUGACUUGAGUUCGGGAGGGGGCAGUGGAAUUCCAGGUGUAGCGGUGAAAUGCGUAGAUAUCUGGAGGAACACCGAUGGCGAAGGCAGCUGCCUGGCCCAGAACUGACGCUGAG
rnacentral:rRNA from 1 species